GGAACUCUGAGACAGGUGCUGCAUGGCUGUCGUCAGCUCGUGUUGUGAAAUGUUGGGUUAAGUCCCGCAACGAGCGCAACCCUUAUCCUUUGUUGCCAGCGGUCCGGCCGGGAACUCAAAGGAGACUGCCAGUGAUAAACUGGAGGAAGGUGGGGAUGACGUCAAGUCAUCAUGGCCCUUACGAGUAGGGGCUACACACGUGCUACAAUGGCGCAUACAAAGAGAAGCGAACUCGCGAGAGCAAGCGGACCUCAUAAAGUGCGUCGUAGUCCGGAUUGGAGUCUGCAACUCGACUCCAUGAAGUCGGAAUCGCUAGUAAUCGUAGAUCAGAAUGCUACGGUGAAUACGUUCCCGGGCCUU
rnacentral:rRNA from 1 species